rfam:Erwinia sp. EM595 isolate E_g_EM595 genome assembly, chromosome: 1
GUGAGCCAUGUGAUGUGGUUAUUUCGAUCGUAACUUUUUGAUUGAAAGGGCAAUAUGUUAUUGCCCUUUAUUUUUA